rnacentral:rRNA from 1 species
UACGUAGGGUGCGAGCGUUAAUCGGAAUUACUGGGCGUAAAGCGCACGUAGGCGGCUAGGCAAGUGCGAUGUGAAAGCCCCCGGCCCAACCGGGGAACUGCAUCGUAGACUGCCUGGCUUGAGAGCGGUAGGGGAGACUAGAACUCCUGGUGGAGCGGUGAAAUGCGUAGAUAUCGGGAGGAACACCAAUGGCGAAGGCAGCUUGCUGGGACGGUACUGACGCUGAGACGCGAAAGCGUGGGGAGCAAACAGG